CUAACGAGUACCUCAAAGCUCUGGUCGCUGUCAGGGAGAUCUGCCAGGAUUACGACAGUGACAAAAUGUUCCCAGCGUUUGGCUUCGGCGCUCAGAUUCCGCCUGACUUCAAGGUUUCUCACGAUUUUGCAGUGAAUUUUAAUGAGGAAAACCCAGAAUGUGCAGGUA